rnacentral:miRNA from 1 species
UUUGGUUUGAAGGGAGCCCCU